rnacentral:tRNA from 1 species
UCAAUAGCUCAGUGGAUAACGCGAUGGCAUUGGAAACGAACGGUACUGGGUUCGAGUCCCAGAUUGA